rnacentral:rRNA from 1 species
GACGAACGCUGGCGGCGUGCUUAACACAUGCAAGUCGAACGGAAAGGCCCUGCUUUUGUUGGGUGCUCGAUUGGCGAACGGGUGAGUAACACGUGAGUAACCUGCCCUUGACUUUGGGAUAACUUCAGGAAACUGGGGCUAAUACCGGAUAGGAGCUUCUGCUGCAUGGUGGGGGUUGGAAAGUUUCGGCGGUUGGGGAUGGAUUCGCGGCUUCUCGGCUUGUUGGUGUAGUAGUGGCUUACCAAGGCUUUGACGGGUAGCCGGCCUGGGAGGGUGAACGGGGACAAUGGGACUGCGGUACGGACCAGAAGCCAACGGGACGCAGUGGUGGAGAGCAUGGCGCAGCGGGGCGAAGCCAGAGGCGGAAGCGCCGGGUGCGUGAUGCCGGCUUUCGAGGGGUGAACAGAUUUCGACGGAGCCGUAGAGUGCGUGACGGUAAUUGGUAAGGAAGCACCGGCUAACUACGUG